GACGAACGCUGGCGGCGUGCUUAACACAUGCAAGUCGAACGGUAAGGCCCUUCGGGGUACACGAGUGGCGAACGGGUGAGUAACACGUGGGUGAUCUGCCCUGCACUUCGGGAUAAGCCUGGGAAACUGGGUCUAAUACCGGAUAGGACCCUGGGAUGCAUGUCCUGGGGUGGAAAGCUUUUGCGGUGUGGGAUGGGCCCGCGGCCUAUCAGCUUGUUGGGGGGGUGAUGGCCUGCCAAGGCGACGACGGGUAGCCGGCCUGAGAGGGUGACCGGCCACACUGGGACUGGGAUACGACCCAGACUCCUACGGGAGGCAGCAGUGGGGAAUAUUGCACAAUGGGCGCAAGCCUGAUGCAGCGACGCCGCGUGAGGGAUGACGGCCUUCGGGUUGUAAACCUCUUUCAGCACCGACGAAGCGCAAGUGACGGUAGGUGCAGAAGAAGGACCGGCCAACUACGUGCCAGCCGCCGCCGUAA
rnacentral:rRNA from 1 species